rfam:Micromonospora avicenniae strain DSM 45758 genome assembly, contig: Ga0111705_128
ACCGGUCUCCGGUAGUGGCCCCCGGGGUACCCGGCAUUCAGCCGUGGCCCGGGCGCUUCGAUCGAAGACCGGC